UACGAAGGGGGCUAGCGUUGUUCGGAGUUACUGGGCGUAAAGCGCACGUAGGCGGAUUUGUAAGUCAGGGGUGAAAUCCCGGGGCUCAACCUCGGAACUGCCUUUGAUACUGCAAGUCUCGAGUCCGAUAGAGGUGAGUGGAAUUCCUAGUGUAGAGGUGAAAUUCGUAGAUAUUAGGAAGAACACCAGUGGCGAAGGCGGCUCACUGGAUCGGUACUGACGCUGAGGUGCGAAAGCGUGGGGAGCAAACAGG
rnacentral:rRNA from 1 species